rnacentral:rRNA from 1 species
AGCGAACGCUGGCGGCAGGCCUAACACAUGCAAGUCGAACGGAUCCUUCGGGAUUAGUGGCGGACGGGUGAGUAACACGUGGGAACGUGCCCUUUGGUUCGGAACAACUCAGGGAAACUUGAGCUAAUACCGGAUGUGCCCUUGGGGAAGAUUUAUCGCCAUUGGAGCGGCCCGCGUCUGAUUAGCUAGUUGGUGGGGUAAAGGCCCACCAAGGCGACGAUCAGUAGCUGGUCUGAGAGGAUGAUCAGCCACAUUGGGGACUGAGACACGGCCCAAACUCCUACGGGAGGCAGCAGUGGGAAUC